GCAUUGGUGGUUCAGUGGUAGAGUUCUUAGCUUUCAUGUAGGAGACCUGUGUUCUAUUUCCAGCCAAUGCA
rnacentral:tRNA from 1 species